rnacentral:rRNA from 1 species
GUAGGUGGCAAGCGUUGUCCGGAAUUAUUGGGCGUAAAGCGCGCGCAGGCGGUCCUUUAAGUCUGAUGUGAAAGCCCACGGCUCAACCGUGGAGGGUCAUUGGAAACUGGGGGACUUGAGUACAGAAGAGGAAAGCGGAAUUCCAAGUGUAGCGGUGAAAUGCGUAGAGAUUUGGAGGAACACCAGUGGCGAAGGCGGCUUUCUGGUCUGUAACUGACGCUGAGGCGCGAAAGCGUGGGGAGCAAACAGGGAUUAGAUACCCUGGUAGUCCACGCCGUAAACGAUGAGUGCUAAGUGUUAGGGGGGGUUUCCGCCCCCUUAGUGCUGCAGCUAACGCAUUAAGCACUCCGCCUGGGGAGUACGGCCGCAAGGCUG